rnacentral:rRNA from 1 species
CAGGCCUAACACAUGCAAGUCGAACGAAGCACUUUCUUUUGAUUCUUCGGAUGAAGAAGACUGUGACUGAGUGGCGGACGGGUGAGUAACGCGUGGGCAACCUGCCCUGUACAGGGGGAUAACAGUUAGAAAUGACUGCUAAUACCGCAUAAGCGCACGAGGACGCAUGUUCUUGUGUGAAAAACUCCGGUGGUACAGGAUGGGCCCGCGUCUGAUUAGGUAGUUGGUGGGGCAGCGGCCUACCAAGCCGACGAUCAGUAGCCGACCUGAGAGGGUGACCGGCCACAUUGGGACUGAGACACGGCCCAAACUCCUACGGGAGGCAGCAGUGGGGAAUAUUGCACAAUGGGGGAAACCCUGAUGCAGCGACGCCGCGUGAAGGAAGAAGUAUUUCGGUAUGUAAACUUCUAUCAGCAGGGAAGAAACUGACGGUACCUGACUAAGAAGCACCGGCUAAAUACGUGCCAGCAGCCGCGGUAAUACGUAUGGUGCAAGCGUUAUCCGGAUUUACUGGGUGUAAAGGGAGCGUAGACGGAGAGGCAAGUCUGAAGUGAAAGCCCG